UUUAGGUAUUUGUAUUUGGCGCCACGUUCUACCAUUGGAUAUUGGUGAGGCGUUCCGGCUGCGGAACGUCUGUCCUUUAACCACUGAAUGUGUCAUCAGUAGGUGUUAACCACUGAAUGUGUCAUCAGUAGGUGUUAACCACUGAAUGUGUCGUCAGUAGGCGUUAACCACUGAAUGUGUCGUCAGUAGGUGUUAACCACUGAAUGUGUCAUCAGUAGGUGUUAACCACUGAAUGUGUCAUCGGUAGGUGUUAACCACUGAAUGUGUCAUCGGUAGGCGUUAACCACUGAAUGGGUCAUCGGUAGGUGUUAACCACUGAAUGUGUCGUCAGUAGGUGUUAACCACUGAAUGUGUCAUCAGUAGGUGUUAACCACUGAAUGUGUCAUCAGUAGGUGUUAACCACUGAAUGUGUCGUCAGUAGGUGUUAACCACUGAAUGUGUCAUCUUCAGUAGGUGUUAACCACUGAAUGUGUCAUCAGUAGGUGUUAACCACUGAAUGUGUCAUCAUCAGUAGGUGUUAACCACUGAAUGUGUCAUCUUCAGUAGGUGUUAACCACUGAAUGUGUCAUCUUCAGUAGGUGUUAACCACUGAAUGUGUCGUCAGUAGGUGUUAACCACUGAAUGUGUCAUCAGUAGGUGUUAACCACUGAAUGUGUCGUCAGUAGGUGUUAACCACUGAAUGUGUCGUCAGUAGGUGUUAACCACCGAAUGUGUCGUCAGUAGGUGUUAACCACUGAAUGUGUCGUCGGUAGGUGUUAACCACUGAAUGUGUCGUCGGUAGGUGUUAACCACUGAAUGUGUCGUCGGUAGGCGUUAACCACUGAAUGUGUCAUCAGUAGGUGUAGGCCACAAUGAGUUAGCAGAAAGGAAAAUGGAGGGUAUAAAGGGGGCAAUUUUGGGGUACGACUCUCUUUGAGGUUCCUAGAAGAAUCUGUUGACUGCUGGAAGAAGAUUUUUGCUCUAGUUUUUUAGCUUAAAAUAUAUUUUGAUUUUAAAGUAAAAUUCUAGGAGGAUUCCUUAAGUUUACCCCAUUGAUAGAAAUGUGUUAAAGUAACGUUUUAGAUGCCAUCUGAGGGACUGAUCAUCCUGAGAGCCAAAUAAAAAACAUUUAUAAAGUUGUAGAAUGUAAGAAACUGUUUUUCUUGUUAUUAACAAUUGUGCUUCACAUAAAAUUGUAAUAGACAAUAAAUAUUGUAUUGGCAUCCCCACAAUGGUUGAGUUAAGGGCUGUGACGGGGUCGAUCAAUUUUAUUUACUGUUGAUGUUCGCUUAUCAUUGAUUGGUGAUAUUGAUUUGGUAUUGAUUGAUUGAUCUGGGAUUGUUUAUGCCUGUUUCUGGAAUUUUGAAUAAACUUGCUUUAUUGUUCUGAA